rnacentral:rRNA from 1 species
UACGGAGGGUGCAAGCGUUAUCCGGAUUUAUUGGGUUUAAAGGGUGCGCAGGCGGGGCCUUAAGUCAGUGGUGAAAUCCCUUCGCUUAACGAAGGAACUGCCAUUGAUACUGAGGUUCUUGAAUCUAGUUGACGUUAGUGGAAUGUGUCAUGUAGCGGUGAAAUGCAUAGAUAUGUCACAGAACACCGAUUGCGAAGGCAGCUUACUAUGGUGUCAUUGACGCUGAGGCACGAAAGCGUGGGGAUCAAACAGG